UACGUAGGGUGCAAGCGUUAAUCGGCAUUACUGGGCGUAAAGCGUGCGCAGGCGGUUUUGUAAGCCAGAUGUGAAAUCCCCGGGCUUAACCUGGGAAUGGCAUUUGGGACUGCAAGGCUGGAGUUUGGCAGAGGAGACUGGAAUUCCUGGUGUAGCAGUGAAAUGCGUAGAUAUCAGGAGGAAUACCGAUGGCGAAGGCAGGUCUCUGGGCUAUAACUGACGCUCAUGCACGAAAGCGUGGGGAGCAAACAGG
rnacentral:rRNA from 1 species